AUCCAGCUGACGAAUCUCAAAUAGGAUGAAACGUACGUUCUAGAA
rnacentral:hammerhead_ribozyme from 1 species